rnacentral:rRNA from 2 species
AACAUGAGGAAGGAUCAUUA